CAAGAUGGCGGAGUGAGGCGCGCCGAGUUAAGCCGGCCUUUGGGCCGGGGGCAGAUAGGCCCCUGGGCAGUUGAAUGCCUCUGUGAGUUUGAACAAGGGUGAAUAUUUUCCUUGAGUUUUAGGUGCUUUUUUAUUCAUCUCAAAAAGAAAACAAAAUUCUGAACUCAGGAUUUGACAAGUAUUUCUAUGUUGUCUUCAGGAAUGGUAGUCCUGCUUCUUUUGUCUGGCCACUUUCCCUAUUCUUAAAGGUGGAUCUCUCUUCCCUGCAUUUUAUCUCCAUGAUUUGGAAUGGAAAAUGAGCUCUUCUUUUUGCUCCAGAACUCAGAUGCAACACAGAAACCCCUAGGAUGCCGUGAUUCUGCCAACUUCUACAUGAAAAAAGAAGCAACUGAUAUGCCUUCUACUUGUUAAACUGGAAAGAAAUUGUUUCGCAAGCAGCAGGCUGAUGUUAAAUUUGAAACAGGUGCUGAGAUUAUGGUGUUUGUGAACCUUUUACCUUUUGUUCCAAACAAGAAGACUAAAGUAAGUAGCAAGUAUGGAUGACAUCAGGGUUUUGUUUUGUUUUUUAAUGUCUUCCAGUUUCAGAUAUUACCAUAAUAAGCACAGCAAAUUCCAAAUAUGUGUUCUAAUUUAAAAUGAAAGUGAUACUAAAAAAAUUACAUUUAUAACAAUGAAUCACGGUUCAUCCUAUAACAGAUUUACUGGAUGAUAAGAACAACUUCUAAUUCUGCAAUAAAACCUUUGAUGUGAUAAAGAAGCAUAAAGACAAGAUAAUAUAAGGUUACUUUCAUAUGUGAAUAAACCACAGUAACUGUAAAUGUGUUUUUCAGUUAGAAAUCCACAUUUUUGAAUGAGAAGAGGGAAUUUUCUCUUGGAAAAGGAAGCUGUUCUUUCUCGGGAAUCUUUGGACAUUUGUUACUUUUUAACAGGCUUUUUUUUUUUUUUUUUCUUUUUUUUAAGAAUGGACUACAUUGUGCAUAUGCUAACCCUAUGAAUGCAUGUGGGUUUAAUGCAAGAUUGGUAAAAGAAAACAAAACAGUUUUGAGCCCAGUGAUGGACCUCAUUCAACUCUGCAGGAUAAGAGACUACAUAUUGCAAAUUCAUUCUUUUUUAAGGAGUCUUACCUAGAACUUGAGAGUUGGUUUUCCAUGUUGCCGAGACUAGAAGAAAAGUGGUAUAUAGUGGUUUUCCUGUUGAGAAGAUGUAAUAGAUCCUAUGGUGUGGCCUGUCUUCAACUUUGGACAUUAAAGGAGUAUGGGAAAAUAAGAUAUUACCUUUCUUCUAAGAAAAAGCAAAAAUACCUACUGGAUUUCCAUCUGACUUUAUGGCAUUUCAUAUUCUAUGGCUACAGUUUUUAUAAACUCAUAAGUAACUUUUUUUUUUUUUUUUUUUUUUACCAAAGAUGGGUUCUUGAAUGUUUGAUUUAUUUUUAAGGCAAUAGGUGUAUGUUAGGUUGAAAAAAGUGGAAUUCAGGUAACUUUCUCCAGUGGAACUGAAAUUUUGCAUCCAAGAAUGAACUUCAGCAACAAUGUUUCCCAAAUUUGUGGUUGGGUCAUUGUAGACUUAGAAGAAAUUCAGAGUCUAGAGUCUCAAAACAAGACAAAGGUUUCAAGAAGGAACAUGAACUUCCUUAAAACUUACACCAUAUGAACUUGCUAGUGUAAAACUGUCCUGGCUUCCAGAUCAGCAGAGGACCACUGUGUAAGCUGCCAGGUCUUUACAUAGGAAGAAUGGAAUCUUUAUGUCUUUGUAAGUAGAGAAAGAAUUUAAAUUUAGCUGAAAUUCAGAAUAGUCUUAGAUCAUCUCUGUGACUUAGGAAAUGUUUGCCCAAGGCCAUGUAUGCUUUUAUGCUGAAAAUUUAAUUCAUAAUUAUUAUUUGAGAGCGACAAGACAUGUCCAACCAAAGGAAAAGUUGAGCAUUCUUAGGGAUUAGUCAAAUUGACUGAUAAGAAAAUAUAGUUUCCUGUGAGGGCAGUUACUGAAUAGUGAAGCUCAGUGAAAAGAACUUUGGAUAAAGAUAAACUUUUAAGUGAUUUCCUACCCACUUCCUGAUGUUUUCAGUAUUUUGAAAUUGUUAAAGACAAUGAAGCCUAUAUACAUUACUUCCCUUUCGUGUGUUGAAAAUAUAUUACGCAGAAAUUUUUAUUUCUCAAGUUACCUAAUUUCCCCAAUUGCUUUUGGCAACAUUUUGGGUAGGGUCGCUUGGCAGGGAAAUUGGGUACCUGUACUGUCAUUGCCGGUGAAACCAGGUCUCGCCCACUUACUGAACAUGUAUCAGACAGCUUCGCUAGUUGCUUCAUAUUUUUUAUUUCACUGCUAGGCUAACUACUGUUUACUGCUCUUUUCAAAUUAUUACUGCAUUUUCCAUGGCUGUCACCUGACAACAUUAAACAAGUGAGUGUAUUCCAAUUGUAUUUACCCAGUGUUUGCUUACUAUAUCUACAUUUUUUUUCCUGGGGUCAGUUUUGUUCUCCUUGAUGGCAAAAGCUAUCACUUUGGGCAAGAUGCCUCAAUCUAUAGCUGUGUCCACUUCCACUAUUUUUGUUCAUCCAGGUCAGCUGGCAGUUUUUCUUUUAAAAAGUUAAACAAAAACGGGGUAUGUGCAAUAGAAAUAUAUAUAUAUGUAUAUUUUAAUACUUGUGGACAAAUGUUACAAGUUGUUGAAGAACAACAAAAUCACCAAUGUCUUCCAUUUUGAGAUGUGUAUAGUUUUGUAAGCAUUAGUGCUUGGUAGCAUAUUGUAGUGCCAUGUUAGGGAUUAGUGCAUGAACCUAGUAAUAAUUUAAACUUCAGGAUGAAUUAUUGAUAAUCAGUGGUGUAAAAAGAGUGGAAAAUUUAGACCUUUUUUCAUAAAUACCUAACUCCAUUGUAUUCUCCCUGGGGGAAGAUUAAGGCCAAAAAAGACUCACUUAUGAAUAGAAAUGUGGGGUCACAAUGUAAAAUACUGUGUUUUGAGGAUAUUUAAGCUUUCCAUGAAGUUACUGGAUACCAGUUGGCUUUGUCUUGUGAAAUCCCAAAUCAAAACAAGACCCCGUAUCAUGAUUCUGCUUUGCUCUUAGUUUUAGGUAAAAUUUUUCUUAUGUUAUAUUCACAUUGUAUGUCCUGUAGGUUUAUUAUUUUCCUACUUUUAUAUCAAGAAAUUAUAUUUUGCAUGUCUUACUGAGAUGCUGUGUUAAUUGCUUAUGUCAGUCUUAAUGUGUAGAUCAUUUAGUUUUCCUACCUGCAGCAUGCUACAUGUUAAUGGGAGAACACUGCUCAGUAGUUUUGUGUCCUAGGUUAACUUGUCAUGGGCUCUUCUACUUCCAAGUAUGUGGGGUUGUAUAUUGAUGGAAUUCCAUACUUAUUAAUUAAUGAGAUUGGAAACACAGCUAGAUGGCAUCAACCUAGGUUGCCAUAUGUAAUUAUCUAGUUCUUUUGCUUGGAUAUAGUAAGCCACCUCAGACAGCUUUCACUUUUUUCUAUUUUCUUUGUAGAAAUAAAAGUUGUUUUGUUCUGAAAGCAUAAGAUAGCUUUAUAUAGAAAAGAAACUCCUACCUACCUCUAAAAGCUGCCUUGAGAAAUUGGAAAUGGCAGUUUUCUGAGGUGAUUUUAGAAUGUUAGAGUACUAGAGUUCAGGAUUUAUUACAAUUUUACAGUUAGCAUAACAGGAAAUGCAAAUCUGUUAAUGUGGUGUAUGUGCAGAGGCAAGUUUAAACAAAUAAAACUCUCAGACAGCAGAUCUCCAGGGACCCAGGUUUAGAUUAUCAUAGUGUAUUUAAAAUAGUUGUACUCUUAACUCAAGUAGCUUAGUGCCUGGAAGAAUCCAUUUCUGAAAAGCAUUUGAACAUUUAAAAAAAUACCUCUGAAAAGGUAAUGAAUACAAAAUAGCACAGUAUAUAUAGGAAAGGAUAUUUCCUUUUGCAAAAAAAAAAAAAAAAAAAGCCAUAAAAUGAACCGAUACUUUUCAAGAGGUAGAAUAUUAGUAGCAAUAACAAUUUUGUAUAUGUAAUAAACUGAAUUAGCAAGGUUGUACAGUAGAGUAUUACUACUUGAGUUUGUGGGACUUUGUGAUCAACACAGUCACACAAAAGGAAAAAGAUAUUCUAAGAGCAUAUAAAAGAUACUUUUAAAGCUAUGAAUGUAUUUGGGAAUAUCAUUGUGUGAGAAAUACCAACUUUUGGUAAAUUAAAGGAUAAAGACCCUGUUUCCUAAAGCAGAGGGUUAGAGCCUUUGAACUAAACUUUUCUAGUGCUUAAUCUGGAAACAAAUGUACUCCUACUGAUGUAGCCCCAUUGAAGCCAUGGUAUCUGGGUUUUACUUAUGUUUCUUUUAGCAUCAGGCAUUUAAGAACAUAAAUUUUUGUUUUGUUUUCUCCUUCCUCCAUUAAUUUUCUGAGUGCAUUAUUUUUAAAGGGAGAAGUUUGUUGUGUGUGUGUGUAUAAUUAGGGUGUUUUUGUUUUUUUUUUUUAAAGUUCAGAACUUAUAUAACUGGCUUUUUUUCAUACCUGUGACUGGUAAAUUAGGGGAAUUAGUAUUUAAAUAUGUAAAGCAAAAGGAUUAAAGGGGAUAAUAGCCAAAUGCAGUUUUGGUUUUGUUGAUUUUGUUCAGUUUUUCUAAUCUUGACUAAACAGAUGUUCCAAGGUCUGUGGCUUUUGAUUACUUAGUUUAAUGAAAAAUUUUAUCUGCAGAAUCACACAACUCAUAUCAGGAUAUUAUAGUGGAAUGAGGAUGUCUUCUUACUCCCUUUUACCUCUUAUUAAUCUUGGCCAUUUAGCACCUUGAAGAUCUCUGGAAAAAGAUGAUGUCUGUGUUUCCUUGCUUUUCCAGGGAGGUAAAAAAAAAAAAAAGAGUAAAUCUAGAGAGAUGGUGCUUUUUGAGUAUUUUUGAUAGGGCAACUCCAAAUGAUAGGAUUCAUUAUAUAGCUCUUUUAAAUGUCCUGUGCCACAGGUUGGUACUGAAGACAUUGAAAUAACCAAGCAAUAUUCAGACAUCUGCACAAUCAUGAGAACACCACCAUGUUACGAUGAUUUCAAAAGCAUGGUUACUUGAACAAUGACAGAUCGACUUAACAGCCACGUUAAUAGUUCUAAAUGCUAAAAUGUGCUACAAGUUUUUGUUGUCUCGACAUGUGCUGUUACUUACUAAUUAUUAAUUCAAUGUGUGGUCUCAUGUUUACUUUUUGUGUACCUGUGAUAUGUAAAAUAUGAAGAGACCCUUGGCCUCCAGGAGUUUACAUUUUCAUGGUGCUUCUGAUGCAAGCAAAUUGCUUCUAGUUUAUUCAGAACAUUGCUUGGCUAUUGAUUAUACCAUAUUUGGGAGGAUCCCUUGGCCAACAGUUUUCAAAAGCAGAGGGCUAUGAUAAAUUUCAGGGCAUUGAUUUUGAGUUUACAAUGUAUUAGUUCUGCUGUUCAUAAACUACUUCUCCCCAGGGAACUGUGCAGUUAAUGCUCAUUAAUAUGAUUCAGAAAUUCUGCCUACGAGUGUCUUCACCAUCCCUAAACCAAUGUUGGUCUAUGCUAUAGCUGUCAGUAAAUGGCCAGGAAACUUAAAUGCUCCAAAAGACUGUACAUCUAUCUUUCUUUCUUCACCCAGAGUUUUUACAUCAUCCUCUAUUCAAAGGACCAGGAUUUACAAUUAAGUAUUUUGUAACUCAAUAGUGGUCCUAAAUCUUAACCUUUUUUGUGUGUGAAUUUUGUACCUAUAUUCUAAUGCAGCAUUGUGAUAGACGUAGAACACUUGCCUGCAUUUCUGAGCAAUUACUUUCUUAAUGCACAUUUUUGGUUGAGAUUUUGCAUGUAUCAUUAUUUACCUUAACUUCUCUGAAUCUAGAGGUUUAAUCUGCAUGUUUAUUAAAUCUGGGUCUGGUUCAGAAUACAAGCAAUAGUGGCAGGCCCAUAAUUCUGAUCUUACCAAUAUCCUAAUGCAUGAUUGAAAUUGUUCAGUGUACUGUGGUUACUAGUGAUUAUACAUAUGCAUUUAUUAAUAAUGAAGCAAUAGAGACUUAUACCAAUAGCUUGAAUUUAUUAUUUGAAUUUCUCUCUAAUUAAAGAUGAUCUUACUUCCAUUAUGGGAUCUUAACAGGGACAAAGACAUUCAAACUAUCAGGAAUAGAGCAUAAUAAUGCUCACCUUCUAAUCUCUUGCCUGUUUCCAUUAGUUCCCCAAGCAUGUUUAAAAACAAAAGGCACAAAUUAAGCAUGUUGAAUUCAUAAAUAAGCUGCUAUCGCGCUAAUAAUCAGAAAGGUGUAGAGUUUCAGAAAUGGUAGGAAAGUAGGGAAUACAAAUGUGGGGCAUGAAAAAUAAUCAUAUAUGGGGUUUGUGUGAUAAUAUUUUAGGUGGCCUAAGGUUAGAUCUCUUAAAACUGCUAUCUCAGAAGUAAAUAGAGGUGAUAUACACAUAUUUCAGAUGUUCUCCAGGAUUUUCAGAUAAUUAUGCUGUUGUGGAUAGUACUUUUAUCUGCCAGUCAUGAAAGAUCCCUGCAGCUAAGGAGACUGGCCCAUUUUGUGGAAAUAGUCAUGAAAAUAGACAUAUCUGUGAUUUGGGUUUUUGUUUUUGUUUUUAAAUUACACUAUUACAUUAAAUUAAAGGUUAUAUUUGUGGUCUCUUUCGUUUAGCCAUCGUUUAUUCUUGAUAUUUUGAUUAGACUACAUCACUUGUUACCUAAAGUUUUUGAUAGUCCAGAAUCAGUAGCAAUUUUCCCUUUUUGGGGAAACAAGAAAAACCUUGCCUUUUGUAUUUUUAUUCGAUUAAAAGGUCAGCUUGUUGAUGUAACUCAAAUUUUUUCUUGAAGAUUCUUGACUAGAUUAACCCUGGUAAAGUUAUGACAAAUAAUAUACAAAUGGAAUUAAUUGUCUGAAUGAGGUCUACAGUGAAAUUCAGGAUUAAACCAAUUUCAUGUUCCCAGAGUUUUUAUUCACGAAAAUUAUUUUUCCAAAAAUUAAUCUCCUUUUCUUUCUGUGGGAUUUUACCGCAGAUCCCUUUGGUGAUGUUCAAGUGGUAUGGUAACAUUCUGGGGGUUUAGAAUUGAAAUAGACCUUCACUUUGGUAUCCACUCAAAUACAAAAAGUGAGGUGUCAUCCCAUUUGUAAAUUUUCUCUUUGCCACUUAAGAUAAUGUAUCUGUCAAUGAAAAUAGAUUUAAGGAGAGUCACUCUUUCCAAUAAUUCUACUAAGGUAUAGAAAAAAUAUUAAUAUUGGAAAACCAAGCAGCUUUCUUCAAGAAUGUAUCCAUACUCCUAAACACCUUAAGUCAGGAUAUCUUAGUUACUCCAGCUAUCAAAAGAUCAUGCUUGCCUUGGUUAUGGGCCAUUUUUCUCCCACAGAUGAGGAUAUCCCUGAAUAUUUUCUCAUCAGCCCUUUAAAAAUAAUAGUGGUUUUUAUGUUUACCCUAAAGCUACCCAACACUUGUAAUGAAGAUAUUAAUGUUCAUUUAGUUACUCUCCUGUAAGCACAGGAAUCUGUCAAUGUUCUUUCUUGCUGUUCUGUAUCCUCCACUGCACCAUUGAUAAUGUUAAAUUUUUUCACUGAAUGUUUAAAGUAUAAAAGGCAGCUUGCUCUUUAAUCUAUGCAUCUUGGAAUUUUAGAAGUUUUAAUUCUUUGUUGUAAAAAGGAAGUACUUUAUGAGAUGGAAACUCUGCACCUGUGUGUAUGUGUGUGUGUGUAUUUUGGCAAUAAAGCAGCAUGGGCUGAGGAUGCA